AUACGUAGGGGGCUAGCGUUGUCCGGAUUUACUGGGCGUAAAGGGUGAGUAGGCGGUAACGUGUGUCAGAUGUUUAAUCUAUGAGCUCAACUCAUAUCAGCAUUUGAAACUACGUAACUUGAGUGCAGGAGAGGUAAGUGGAACUCCUAGUGUAGCGGUGGAAUGCGUAGAUAUUAGGAGGAACACCGGUGGCGAAGGCGACUUACUGGACUGUAACUGACGCUGAGUCACGAAAGCGUGGGGAGC
rnacentral:rRNA from 1 species